rnacentral:lncRNA from 1 species
AAAAAUAUUUUAUAUAUAAAUAAGUUUUGAAUUUAUAAUACAACAACCGGAUAAAAAGAACUAAGGGUCGUUCAUCGCCUGGUAGAAUUCCUCACUCCUCCUCGCAACAUCCGCCUCGUUAUGUGUGUCGGAUGACUCGCCUAGAAUGGGAUGUUGUUGUCGCAUGUUCCUCAACAUGGACUCCCAUUCCGGAUUUGUGGCCGCUAUAACGUCCAAGAA